rnacentral:rRNA from 1 species
CCUGGGCUAGAAUGUAUUUUGCCACCUUAAGAAAUUAAGGCUUCCUUCGGGACAGAAUACAAGGUGCUGCAUGGCUGUCGUCAGCUCGUGCCGUGAGGUGUUGGGUUAAGUCCUAUAACGAGCGAAACCCUUUUACUUAAUUGCCAGCACAUAAUGGUGGGGACUUUAAGUAGACUGCCCGUGUAAGCGGGAGGAAGGAGAGGACGAGGUCAAGUCAUCAUGGCCUUUAUGCUCAGGGCUACACACGUACUACAAUGGCAUGUACAAAGGGAAGCUACUUGGUAACAAGAUGCAAAUCUCAAAAGCAUGUCUCAGUUCGGAUUGAGGUCUGCAAUUCGACCUCAUGAAGUUGGAAUCGCUAGUAAUCGCGCAUCAGCAAUGGCGCGGUGAAUACGUUCUCGGACCUUGUACACACCGCCCAUCAAGCCAUGGGAGUUGGUAGAGCUUGAAGACAGUGGCA